UAAAGACUCCCUAGCCUACAAAAAAGAUAUUGAUGUACAAAGACUAGGAAUAUAAAUGCUUCAUUAAAAUAAAGAAGGAAACAGGAAGUCUGCAAAGGACCAUGGAAUGUGGAACCUUGCCCAGCCUGCUGCUCAGGAGGCGAUUGCUCAAGGCUGUCUUAUGCAGAGGAGGUCAACAGUUGACCCAUGAACCAUUUAAACUGGAAGGAAGAAUUAACCAAUACCCUGAGAGAUUGACUACAACUACUUUUUCCUGAAAGUUAGAGUGCAGAGUACAGGAGAGGAAGGCCAUUUACUAAUUUUCCUGCUUCCUUCACCAGUCCUCUACCUCUCCAUACCUAAGGUCCUUCACUCAAUAUACUCAAGUCUUCUCUGCUAUGUCUGCAUUCCCACAUGCCACGGCAUAUAAAAGGUAGGAUAAGGAGUUCCAUCACUUCACACAAGCAUCUACCAGGAGGAGGAAAAUAAAAACAUUUUACCAUCAACUUCGCCACUUGCUGUGAAACCGAAGGCUUGUUAUAUAAGCGUUUGGGGACAUAAUGAAUGUGACUUACAUAUGUCAUCUGGGAGACAUGGUGUUUAUAUUUCUUGAGUUGAAUUGGGGCAGAAAAAUAAUGGGCAUCUAAAAUGCUCAAUAAUUGAGAGAAACUUUAAAAGUUAUUCCUCACCCUAGUUUGUCUAAUAUCUAUCUUUAUCAUCUUAUUUGUCAGUUCCUUGGGAAAUUAAGAAAUUUAGAAAUUUCUACUGAAAUAAAAUGGAUUGUUUUGGAGACUGUUUCUGAAUAGUUGCAGAACUCCCCCAAAGUCCCAACACAAGUCUCAUUCCUCGUUUCCUCCUGACCCCCAGUAUUCUAGCUGAUUCAAGUUCAUGCCCACAUCUUCUCUUCAGACGUGCAGUUCCUCAGAGAGUCUUCUUUGUGGCUCCUAGACUUAUUAUGUCAAGUACUGGAGCACCAUGAACUUGCUAAGGAGCAAAUGCACACGUGUUCUACACCAGAAGACAGUCAGAUGCACUGAUGUCUUGAUUUAUUGGGUUUGUAAAUUUGGGUGUGAUUAAGCACAGCACUGAGGAAUCUGUCCUUUUAGACUGCGUUUACUGCAGGAUAAUGAAUGUGAUUUGAUUUACACAAAUGUGAUCUGCGGAAAGGUUUGUUUAGGAGUACUCUAAGUCACAAACUGAGGUAUAUACUUCAUAUAAAGCAUUAGUGAGGUCAAGGGAAUAGUUGGGCAAAAGUGGGGAAGGUGUUGAGUUGGUUGGAACACUAUGUGAGAAGCUAAGUUUCCCCAAAUUUUGUUCAACAUAAGCAUACAAUUAUCAAAUACCAAUUUGAUAUCAAGACAAUACUAAUUUUUACUUCUUCUUUUCUCUCUGCCGCUAGCCUGUGAAGAAAAAACCAACACCUAGAAUUUUUUCCAUCCCUCACCUUUCCUUUGAGAACUCAACAACCCAAGCAACAUGAACCUUUUCCCAAAUACCAUUUAGGAGAAGUCACUGGCAGUUUAAGAAACAGAUUUUUUUAAAAAGUUCCAGGGUGAGACAUCUUCCAACAUAAACUUUAAAUAUCAUUCUUAGCAUCAAAGCAACAAUAUAUUUAGUAUGCUUCAAUCAUUCCCAAGGAGAAAGAUACUGGAAAAUGUGGUUUGAAGUGUAAAUUUAUAGAGCAGAGUCAUAACCGACAGUUAAUAUCUAAUGGUUUCAAUCAAAUUUAUAACAGAGCUGAGUUGGCAGCAAGCAUUCCUGGACCUGUCUCUCCAAUCACAGAGUACCCAGGGACACAGGCAUUUACACACGGACUCCGGGAGCUUGUGCAAUGUGAUACCAACUGCAGUUCUCUUCAUGAACAUAACCUCAGAACCGAAAGGCUUAUAGGUGGAAGAAACAUGUCUUGAGUCUCAGAUAAGACUUGCGGCUUUGGACUUUGAGUUCACACUGGAACCAAUUAAGACUUUGAGGAAGACUAUUAGGAAGGGAUGAUUGUAUUUUGCAUUGCGAGAAGGACAUGAGAUUUGGGGGACCAGAGGCAGAAUGAUAUACUUCGGAUGUUUGUCUUCUCCAAAUCUCAUGUUGAAAUGUGAUCCCCAAUGUUGGAAGUGAAGCCUGGUGGGAGGUGUUAGGGUCAUGGGGGCAGAUCUCUCAUGAAUGGCUUGGUGCCUACCCCACAAUAAUAAGUGGCAAUGAGUUUACAUGAGGUCUGGUUGUUUAAAAAGAGUGUGGCAUCUCUCCCCUCUCUCUCUCGUUCCCUUUCUCACCACGUGAUAGGUCUGCACACCCUUGGCCUUCUGCCAUGACUGGAAGCUUCCUUAGGCCCUUACCAGAAGCAGAUGCUAGCACCAUGCUUCCUGUACAGCCUGCAGAACUGUGAACCAAAAUAAACUUCUUUUCUUUAUAAAUUAUA
rnacentral:lncRNA from 1 species